CUCCCUUUACGACACCCCUUACGGCAAUUACAGCCACAACUACCACCUUCCUCUUAUCUAUAUAACAACUCUUCCUCUCCUCCACUCAUCUCCCAUCGCUCAAAUUUUACUCCAAUUGUGCCUAUACCCACAUCUCCAGUUUCCUUCCUUCUUCCUGCAAUCUAAUACCCACAUCAGAUUUUUGAGAAAACAGAGAUUAGUGACCGGAAUUCUUCGUUUCAGGCCUUAUUUUUCUCCUUUUUAGGGACCCAAGUGUACUAUUGGUGUUUUGGUGUUAAGGGUGGAGUUUUGUUUUUGUAAAGAGAGGUUUCUUGGGGUAAUACCCAGGGUAGACAAGUUGUAGACAUCACGGCUAUAUACGGAGUAACUCGGCCUCUAAUACAUGUCCGGGCUGUACGACGCAAGGGUUGUGUGAUCGAGAGCAACCCUUCGCCGCACGGUGGACGUGGUGCUUUGCCUUCCGAAGGCGGUAGCCCUUCCGAUCU
rnacentral:misc_RNA from 1 species